CCUACGGGGGGCAGCAGUGAGGAAUAUUGGUCAAUGGGCGGAAGCCUGAACCAGCCAAGUAGCGUGCAGGAUGACUGCCCUAUGGGUUGUAAACUUCUUUUAUAUGGGAAUAAAAUGUUCCACGUGUGGGAUUUUGUAUGUACCAUAUGAAUAAGGAUCGGCUAACUCCGUGCCAGCAGCCGCGGUAAUACGGAGGAUCCGAGCGUUAUCCGGAUUUAUUGGGUUUAAAGGGAGCGUAGGUGGAUUGUUAAGUCAGUUGUGAAAGUUUGCGGCUCAACCGUAAAAUUGCAGUUGAAACUGGCAGUCUUGAGUACAGUAGAGGUGGGCGGAAUUCGUGGUGUAGCGGUGAAAUGCUUAGAUAUCACGAAGAACUCCGAUUGCGAAGGCAGCUCACUGGACUGCAACUGACACUGAGGCUCGAAAGUGUGGGUAUCAAACAGGAUUAGAUACCCUAGUAGUC
rnacentral:rRNA from 1 species